rnacentral:lncRNA from 1 species
CUGCGCCCUGCACACCGAUUGCAAGCACUGGGUUUACCUCCGAGCUGAUGUCUGUAAGAAAUAGUGGCAUAGCUAAUGCACAGAUACUAUGUAUUCAUACUUCAGUCAGCGCUGGAUGUGGGACAGCAAUCUCCAGCAGUGAGGGAGCAGGCUUCAAGAAAAAGCAGACAGAACAAUCUUCACAAUCCUUAGAUGGUCAGACUCCCUCUACUAUCAGCAGCAGCAACCAAGACAGUCUCAUUCUGUAGCCAAGGACAUAGGAGCACCACAAGUACUUUGUACAGCAUCUCUUGACAGCACCAUCCUUUGCCUCCGAGUUCCAAUGAACGUGGUACUGCUUUGGGAAUCAAGUGCUAAGGGUGAAAACCUAUGCAACUGGAAAGAAACUUCUGCCACCAACAUGCA